rnacentral:rRNA from 1 species
GACGAACGCUGGCGGCGUGCCUAAUACAUGCAAGUCGUACGCUUCUUUUUCCACCGGAGCUUGCUCCACCGGAAAAAGAGGAGUGGCGAACGGGUGAGUAACACGUGGGUAACCUACCCAUCAGAAGGGGAUAACACUUGGAAACAGGUGCUAAUACCGUAUAACAAUCGAAACCGCAUGGUUUUGAUUUGAAAGGCGCUUUCGGGUGUCGCUGAUGGAUGGACCCGCGGUGCAUUAGCUAGUUGGUGAGGUAACGGCUCACCAAGGCCACGAUGCAUAGCCGACCUGAGAGGGUGAUCGGCCACAUUGGGACUGAGACACGGCCCAAACUCCUACGGGAGGCAGCAGUAGGGAAUCUUCGGCAAUGGACGAAAGUCUGACCGAGCAACGCCGCGUGAGUGAAGAAGGUUUUCGGAUCGUAAAACUCUGUUGUUAGAGAAGAACAAGGAUGAGAGUAACUGUUCAUCCCUUGACGGUAUCUAACCAGAAAGCCACGGCUAACUACGUGCCAGCAGCCGCGGUAAUACGUAGGUGGCAAGCGUUGUCCGGAUUUAUUGGGCGUAAAGCGAGCGCAGGCGGUUUCUUAAGUCUGAUGUGAAAGCCCCCGGCUCAACCGGGGAGGGUCAUUGGAAACUGGGAGACUUGAGUGCAGAAGAGGAGAGUGGAAUUCCAUGUGUAGCGGUGAAAUGCGUAGAUAUAUGGAGGAACACCAGUGGCGAAGGCGGCUCUCUGGUCUGUAACUGACGCUGAGGCUCGAAAGCGUGGGGAGCAAACAGGAUUAGAUACCCUGGUAGUCCACGCCGUAAACGAUGA